rnacentral:rRNA from 1 species
UACGUAGGGUGCAAGCGUUAAUCGGAAUCACUGGGCGUAAAGCGCACGUAGGCGGAUCUUUAAGUCAGGGGUGAAAUCCCGGAGCUCAACUCCGGAACUGCCUUUGAUACUGGCGAUCUAGAGGUCGAGAGAGGUGAGUGGAAUUCCGAGUGUAGAGGUGAAAUUCGUAGAUAUUCGGAAGAACACCAGUGGCGAAGGCGGCUCACUGGCUCGAUACUGACGCUGAGGUGCGAAAGCGUGGGGAGCAAACAGG